CAAAGACAGGAAGUCUAAUGGCUCACCUGUCACCUGCAGCAGGAAGUCUUUGGUCUGCAGUCUCGACCCAGUCUUGUCAAACACCUCCAGCGUGUAGUUUCCGGAGUCUUGGGUCUGAAGUCGGCUGAACUCGAGCGAGCCGUCAGGGAGCAUCGAGCAGCGUCCGUGGGAGCACGUGCUCCGGUUCCAGUUCAGCAGCAGGUACCGCUUCCUCAGGUUGCCAUUCGGCAUAAUCUCAGCUCAGGAUGAGUUCCAGUGACGCGUGGACGAGACCUACGAGGGCCUGAGGGGCGUGGCAGCCAUUGUGGACGACGUACUGGUCUUCGGAGAAACCAAACAGGAGCAUGAUGACUACCUGAGGGCCAUGCUGCAGCGCAGCGGGGAGAGAGGUGUAAAACUGAACCCUGACAAGUGCACCAUCUGCGUCAAAGAGGUCAUGGAUCCAGAUCUCACGAUCGUCCUCCUCGGUUGAACCGGAGUGGGUCAAAGUGCUUCAGCGAACACUAUUUUAGGACGAGCAGCGUUCGAGUCAAAGACUUCCUUCAAAGCGGUGACGACAGGAAUCAGCGAGGAAACGGGACGAGUGUUUGGGAAGCUGUGGUGGACACGCCGGGAGUUUAAGGUUGGGGUAUCAGCUGAGAAAGCUCUGUGUGGACGUCCUUUGGUUCCUCAGACCUCGCCUGUUCCUGCUGGUGCUGAGCGUCGGUCGGUGGGGUUUAUAUCAGAAAAGCUGUAAAAUAAUAAAAUCCU
ensembl:lncRNA